AAAUUUUCAAUCAAUCAAUCAAUCAAUCAAUCAAUCAAUCUUUAUUAUGGUCUUUGACCAGUAUAAAGUGGAUUACAUUAGUGCAGCAUUAAAUGGCAUUAAAACAGGCCAUGCCUGGAACUCUAAGUACAGAGGCUAAAAACUUUACACUGUUAUACAGCUACUGUUAGACAAUGAGUAUGGCCUGAUGCUGACAGAGCUGAGGAAAUGUUCCACAUACUAACACUGUAAUACAGAGGUCUCAAGAAAGCUUACUGGAAGCCCAUACAACGUUUUUAAAAAAAUCUUUUUGGUCUUGUUACACCAUAACUCAUCACUGAAAGGAGGAGUAGAAGGAGGGGAGGAGGAGAAGGAGGAGUCCCCUAGAACUGGAGUAUCCCAGAUACAGGUUUCAGCAGUGAGAGUAAUCCAGAAGUGAGUAAAACAAAACAGACUAGGAAAUCUAUCUAUCUACCUCCAUUUUACAUCCUGCCCAGUAUAAGUGACUGGGAUAAUGGACCAAAGUGGGAAUUUCCAGAAGCUGGCUUGACUGAAUCAGCCCUGCUGCUCUGACAGAAUGUAUCUCUGGAUGAAGAUUUGUGGCUAAACUUAUAUUUGCAAUUUGGACCAAGGCAUGGACUAUAUUGGCAGGGAAGCAAGUCAGGAGUAGCAAGAGGAAGAAUGAAGGACCCCUUCCUCAGCAUGCUGCUGAAGGACAAUAGGAAUGGAACUUCCAUUGGGUCUUCAUGGAAAUGUGCCAAGCAUCAGGAAUCGCUACAGACAUGGAAUUCUACACAACCCCACAAGAAAAAGCAGCACCGCUCAUUAAGGGAAAUGUGGUUUUGGAGUGGAGGACUUUUGGAAUUGGAUAUUUGUAUAACUUCUCCCAGUGUGAGGAGGUGCUGCUUAAGUUAUGGAAAUCCUCACAUGUGGCAAUGAGCACUGGUGCCAGGAGUCAAAACCUUGUAUUUUAAUGUAGGUAAAAUUGAGUGAAUGGAAAUCACAAAUGGAGAUAUUUUUUUGUCUACAGUGGAAAGUUUGUAUUGGUGAUGAGGAAAUGAAUAGCUGAGAAAUGA